ACUCCAGCAAAACUCGGGGCAUCGAAUGGAAGCGGCCCACGGAGAUCUGCGCAGACCCCCAGUUCAUUAUUGGAGGUGCUACCCGCACAGACAUCUGCCAAGGAGCCCUUGGGGACCCUCUAGCAUCGUGACCCUUUCAGAAGAAGCUGGAUGGCAAGUGGUGAGGAAAAUGCUCCUCUCCAAAGGCGGCUUGAGAAGAGGCCUAAUUCUUGCCUGUCUAGGAUGGAUAUGUGCUUCUGAGACAUGGAGAAAACCAGAAGCCACAAAGCGUGGCCACUGAUUUCCAGGAUGUGGCAAGAGCACACUGCACUGCUAGUGGUGAUUCAAGACAGGUGUGCCCAUCUAAUAUGAAUACAAAUACGGAAAUACAAACAUGUCACUUUCCAAGGCCAGUCCUUCACGCACUCAGUCAUUGUUCGCUGAACAGCACGCUGGUCCACAGUGACCUCUGAGAUUAUAAAGGCCUGGCGUUCCACGU
rnacentral:lncRNA from 1 species